GAGUAAACCACUACCCCUUCGGUGUUCGCUACCGCUCCUCCCUUCCACACCCACUUCUCCACUUCGGAAUCAACCUCGACUCUCACCAGAGCAGAUCCAAUCCUCGUCAAGCUGCUGUUUAGGGAUAAUAAUCAAAAUCAAGGGACUGAGAUUUUUGAGGAAGGGAAGUACAUGAAAACAAUAGAGAGAGUGCUGGAAAUUGAAUGCUUGUUCUGGGUUUGUGUUUUCGCUUUUGAUUUCUGAGUUUGUGUUGACAUGUUUAUAUUCUGGGUUGAUAUUUUUCAGUUUGCUGUUGUUGAACCGUUGGAUUUUGUGUUUUUGAAUAUAGGUGAUGUUUUUCAAUUUUUUUUUUUAAUUAGAGAAAUUAUUAUUUUAAUUCUUUUACCAAAAGCUGGGCUUAUUUAAAUUUAAUUAAAAAAUUUUGAGUUGACUGGGACAAAAACUUAAAAAUAAUUUUCAAAAUAUCAUUAAAUUGAAACUCAUGGAUUAAGAUAAAUCAUAUUAUAUUUUGUUAGCCUUAAGGAACAAUUAUUCAUCUUAAAAAAAAUUGGAGAUUGGAAAUUUCAAUGCCAAACAGGGAAAGGAAAAAUAUGCCAAUUGAAUUUGACUGCGAAUGGGAAUGCCUGGAAAACUUGAGAAUGGAAUUUUUCUUGCGCAGAUAAAAGUCAUAUUUAGACUCUAAAUGGAGAGUUGACUGUAGAUGUUCAUGCAUGCCGCCUGCUUAAAGAAGUUUUCGGUUGUCUUUCGCACAUCAAACAAGAAGGUGCAAAGAAAAAUCUCGAUUUAUGAUCUCAAUUAGCUUUCACUUGAACUCAAAAGCUUUCAAGAAAAACACCAAGAAAGAGCAAGAAUGGCAAGGCCUCUGAUCAGUUUCAUUUUUGUACUACUGCUAAAUAUUCGGUUGGCAAUAGCAACGGCGCCGAUGGCGAAGCCUAACUGCGCAGACCGUUGCGGAAAUAUUAGCAUUCCAUACCCUUUUGGAAUGGGUAAGGAUUGUUAUAUGGAUGAAUGGUUUGAGGUUGAGUGUAACACCACCAGCUAUCCUCCUACAGCAAUUUUAAGUCGCAUCCAGACGGAGUUGCUCGGUAUUGAUUUUGAAGGCGGCACAGCUAGAGUCAGGAGUCCAAUAAUAACCUCCAAUUGCCACAGCAGAGAUGAGGGUUUGCCUGUGAAUUCGAUAGGAAGUUUUUUGCCUGAGAAUUUGACAGUAAGUUCUUUGCCUGUGAAUUUGACAGGAAGUUAUUUCUACUUGUCUGAUGCGAAUUUAAUGAUUGCAAUCGGUUGCAAUACUCGUGCUUUAUUGACCCCUAAUACGCCUCAUCUCGUUGGGUGCGACUCAACCUGCCAUGCCCAGAAUGAUGUUGAUUGGCAAGAAAUGAUUCCUAAAUUCAUGACUACAUAUUCUGAUGUCCACUGGAUCCAGAAGUAUUGUAGUGGUUACAAUUGCUGUCAGGCCACAAUACCUUCAUUCCUUCAGUUUUUCAAUGCAAGUUUACGAGCUAUAGAUGGUAAUCAAAGCAAUGAUGGUUGCAAGUUGACCUUUCUAGCCGACGGAUCAGCAUGGGUUUCCACGGAAGAAAAGCAUUCCCCUCUUCAGGCUGGGAUGCAGCUAACUUGGAGAAUCAAUUCCAAAAUAUGGAAAUAUGAUGACUUUGAAACCGCAAAUUGCAAUAAAAGCUACAUUUCUUUCUAUGAGGCAGGAUUCCUAUGUUCCUGCAAGAAUGGCUAUAAGGGCAAUCCUUACCUUGGAUGCACAGAUAUUGAUGAAUGCAAUGACCCAACUUAUAGUUCGUGCCAAUGGACUACAAAAUGUGUGAAUACUCCAGGAUCAUAUAAAUGUGUGGUCAAUAUGACUUCGAUUAUAAUUUUUGGUGUUUUUGGUGGAGUUCUAGUAUUGCUUGUGGUUGUACUUGGCACACGGUGGUUACACAAGUCUAUAAAGAAAAGAAAAAACAUUAGGCGGAGGGAAAAGUUCUUCAAGAGAAUGUUACAGCAACAAACAUGUUCAGGUCAAGGCAAAGUUGAUAACGCCAAAAUAUUCAGUUUAAAAGAGUUGGAAAAGUUCUUCAAGAGAAUGUUACAGCAACAAACAUGUUCAGGUCAAGGCAAAGUUGAUAACGCCAAAAUAUUCAGUUUAAAAGAGUU
rnacentral:misc_RNA from 1 species